UCCAAUUUCUUCAUCUGAUGGUGGAUUUGUAGUUGAUGCCACCAUUUUAGGAGGAAUUGCCAGCCACGCGAGGGGUGAGCAGUGGCACUGGCAUAUCCCUCCUUUGGACUCCAUCUCAAGAUCCAGUCCUGAAUUGAGAUAGUUUUAACAGAGUGUAUUUAAUAUGGAGUCUGGACAGAAUAAGUCAAAUACUCGGGUCAAGAAGGAGAUGGACGAGCUGAUUGACUUGGGCUGUUCAGAGCCUUUCUAACCACAAUGACAGGAUGUAGUGUCCAUGAAGGGUCUUUGACGUUGAGCUGAAAGUGCUGUGGUGAUUAUGUGAGGGAUUUUUUCCGGUGAGCAGGCCUGGCACAUUUUAGGUCUAUUUUCAGUACUUAUGAGUGGUCAUGGGUGUCUAUACAUAUUUUAUUUAUUAAUUACUGUACUUAUAUCAAUAAUUGGAUACUUGAGAAUAAAUUUCAAAUGGUAGAAGUUAGAACACCAAUCAGGCAAUCAUCAUUAUGAUCACUGUCAAGCUCGGAGGGUGCCAUUUCUAUUGUAUAAUAGCAACUAUUCAUUUUGUAUGGCUUGCAGCUGCAUGUGUAAUCUCGUUGAGAAGGGUAUUCUUAAGUGCCAACCAAACUGACCUCAGCUGCCUUCUCGUUGAGG